AUCACAGAAAGUGGUGGUACCCACUCUUGACUCAUGGAAACAGUCGUUGCUAUUAGGAAUAGUGCUGAUAAGACAACUCCGAGAGUUUGAGCACUUUGACCUUGCCUUGGAACAACCCCCAGUGUUUUAUAAAGUCAAAAUUAUUUGACCUUAUUCUAUAAGAUCAAAUCCUAUCAUUUUUCCUAACAUUCCUUCAGGUAGAAGAACUGUGCUGAGAAGUGUGUGUGAGAGAGACAGACACAGAUCACACAGAAAGACAGGGAGAAACAGAGAUGGAUGGGAUACACAGGGAAAAAAAUGCAUUUAAUAUA
rnacentral:lncRNA from 1 species